UGGAAAAAUGAACAUUCAAACCCUUCCACUCUCAUUCCCAUACCGUCCUCCCUUCAUCAUGGGAACUGAUAUGAUUUUGUUCUGAAGAAACCAGCAGCAGCAGAAGCUCUUCCUUGAACAAGGCACUGGUCAUGCCUCAAUUAGGACCCAUGUUCCUGCUCCCAGUACUUCUGCCCUCACAUCUCCUGAUAGGACAUGGUACCAGUAGGGCAGGACACCAGCCCUGAGGAGAAGAGCCCAGGACUCUUCACAUGGAAUGAGUGCCUUUUCUAUACUGCCAGGAACAUGAGGACAGCCCAACAAUGGCU